rnacentral:rRNA from 1 species
ACUCUGAUGCAGCGAUGCCGCGUGAGUGAAGAAGGCCCUUGGGUUGUAAAGCUCUUUCGUCGGGGAAGAAAAUGACUGUACCCGAAUAAGAAGGUCCGGCUAACUUCGUGCCAGCAGCCGCGGUAAUACGAAGGGACCUAGCGUAGUUCGGAAUUACUGGGCUUAAAGAGUUCGUAGGUGGUUGAAAUAGUUGGUGGUGAAAUCCCAGAGCUUAACUCUGGAACUGCCAUCAAAACUUUUCAGCUAGAGUAUGAUAGAGGAAAGCAGAAUUUCUAGUGUAGAGGUGAAAUUCGUAGAUAUUAGAAAGAAUACCAAUUGCGAAGGCAGCUUUCUGGAUCAUUACUGACACUGAGGAACGAAAGCAUGGGUAGCGAAGAGGAUUAGAUACCCUCGUAGUCCAUGCCGUAAACGAUGUGUGUUAGACGUUGGAAAUUUAUUUUCAGUGUCGCAGCGAAAGCGAUAAACACACCGCCUGGGGAGUACGACCGCAAGGUUAAAACUCAAAUGAAUUGACGGGGACCCGCACAAGUAGUGGAGCAUGUGGUUUAAUUCGAAGAUACGCGCAGAACCUUACCAACACUUGACAUGUUCGUCGCGACUUUAAGAGAUUAAAGUUUUCGGUUCGGCCGGACGAAACACAGGUGCUGCAUGGCUGUCGUCAGCUCGUGUCGUGAGAUGUUGGGUUAAGUCCCGCAACGAGCGCAACCCUCACUUUUAGUUGCCAUCAUUUAGUUGGGCACUCUGAAAGAACUGCCAGUGAUAAGCUGGAGGAAGGUGGGGAUGACGUCAAGUCCUCAUGGCCCUUACGUGUUGGGCUACACACGUGCUACAAUG